AUUAAAUCGAUGGAAAUAUGAAGAUACAUAUAGCACAAACACGAUGAUCAAACAGCCUUUUAAUAAGUUGGUGCAUUACGCAAUCAAAACCAGGGUGACCAUUCAGUGACAUCUUCCUUAUGCUAAUCAUCCACAGGAAAAAGCACGGAACCUGUAGAAAAAUAGAAGACCAAAAGUAAAAAUUACAAAGUUUGUGAAGCAUUGCAACGAUCAUGUUACUUUUUCCUUCAAUAUUUGGCUUAUUCUGAUUGCUGAUUAUAAACAAGUCAAAUUAGUUUCUAUCACUUUCUUUACAGAAUAAAGAAGCAAAUGACAAAUGUUCUGAACUUUACUUGACACUAACAGAGAGAGACGAAAAUUAGGUAGCAGUGUGCAGUUUAUGUAAUUAUUUGGUGCACUUAGCUGGAGAAAUGGACUGUUUAAGAUUGUCUCUUCAGUCUUCAGCAUUGAAUAUUUUAGAGAAUAUUAUAUUUCCAUCUUCCAUUUGAUGUUCAAUCUAGUGCUUUAACAGUGUUUCCAUUUCAGACUUGCAGUGAUUGAGCAGCCUAGCUGCUACCUUAUCUAUUAGUUUGUCCCUUCCCUGUCUGUUCACACCCCCUUGUGUUCUCUGGCCCGUUGGAUAAGUGUUUUCCCUAUUCUCUUAAAUAAACAGGAAUUGAGAGAAAUAAAAGGACAUAUUUUCCUUAUAUACAAAAGUCAACAAACAGUUGCCAAUGUGGGUUUGUCCAACAGCCUAUAAUUUUCCAGCCAGGUCCGGCAUGGCCUGUCCUUGGAAUGGGACAGCUUCCCCUCCAACCAAGCUUUUCUUUACCAUAAAAUAAAAUUUAACAGUUAAACAAUUCAGUUAUUACAACAAUUAAGAAACAUAAUUCCUUUUAGAUCAAAUGAACCUCUUUGACAGGUUUCAGAUUCCAGCAGUUCGUGGAUGCCCUCUCUGAUAUUCAGGAAGGACAAAACAAGUUCAAAUAUUAAGAAAGAACCAUCAAAAGUUUUAUUGAAAAGCUUAAGCUCGGUUCCUCCAUAAAUUUCUUCGGUUCAAGCUAUAAACUUAUGUCAUAAGAUAAUGCCAAAGUCUUCAGGAAUAGUAAGUAAUAAAUUCUAAUACUAUAUACCUCCAUAACUUUUUCAUAUUGGCAACAGAAACAAAAGCUCUAUCAUGAGUCAUGAAAGAAGAAAUUUUUUAUUUUUAAUUGAACCCUAAAGAUUUACUCAAAAUGGCUGCUUUCUUUUCCUUCUCAGAUUUUAGACAGUCUUUAAUUAGCUAGCAUUACAUUUUGACUGACACUAAGUGAGGUUUUCCCAGACAACUUAUAGAUCACAUAACAUGUGAAUUUCUUUCAACCGUACCACAAAACAGCUUUCCUAGGAGGUUGCUUUUGGCUGUGAUAUUAUUAGUAAAAGAUAAUUUGGGGAGAAGAAGGCAAAUUCAUUGCUGUAGGAGUCAUAAGCAAUGUUUCCCAGGAAGUAGAUAUAUCACCUGUACAAUGAAUGGUACCAGUGGCCAGACAUAAGAGGGGCAUCCACUCGCUUUU
rnacentral:sRNA from 1 species